rnacentral:rRNA from 1 species
GACGUAGGGCGCGAGCGUUGUCCGGAUUUAUUGGGCGUAAAGAGCUCGUAGGCGGCUUGUCGCGUCGACUGUGAAAACUCGGGGCUCAACUCCGAGCUUGCAGUCGAUACGGGCAGGCUAGAGUUCGGUAGGGGAGACUGGAAUUCCUGGUGUAGCGGUGAAAUGCGCAGAUAUCAGGAGGAACACCGGUGGCGAAGGCGGGUCUCUGGGCAUGUCCUGACGCUGAGGAGCGAAAGUGUGGGGAGCGAACAGG